UUCGUUCAUGGCAGGCCCCCUCCUCACCAUUUUCCUUUGUUUUGCGGUGCACAUUCCCCUAAAGCAUAAUGGAACAAUUGAGGUGAAGAUGAAAUUAUGUAUGCUUAAGUCAGGGUGUGCUUUUCAUUCCAUUCUCUAGCUUCAACUUGCAAAAUAGAUUUUCUUUUAGCCCUUGCAGGUUAAAUCUUGAUCUCCUAUACAUUGAUUUGUGGAGGCAUUUGCACUGAUAAACAAAUAAGGAAUAAACGAAGCAUCCAGGCUUACAUUCAGCAGGUAGAGAGUGGCAAGCUGAAGCAUUCUCAACUAGAUCAGGAUGUGCAACGGGCUCAUUCCCAUGGGCUUUUCAUUUUUGCACCUUAAGCAAGAUCACUCGAGUUGGAAAAGUAUCAUUGAAGUUUUUUUUCUAAUUUGUUAAUUUUGAUACUCCCUCCGUUCCAUUCUAUAGUGCCUAUAGAUUUUUGGCAUUUGUUUCACAAUAUAAGGAUGUAGCUUGGCUUUUUUCAAUUACCCCCUCCACCGGUCAACUUCCACACGGCAUGCAUAAAAAAAUCCAUACAAAAUAGGAAAACAUUAAUUGAGAUUUCUAAUGCAUGGCCCCAAGGAUUGAUUAGAUUUAGGAAGCAAUGUUUUUCUUUCCUUAAUUAAACCUGGCUACACAUAUAUGGAGAGUUAACCAGACAUAUUUAUGAGAUUUGUUAUGGUAAGUUAGGAAGUUAUCGAUUUCCCUAAUUUUAGUCCGAUCUCAAAUCGUCCAGCCAGGGGGUCUUGUGUAAAAAUACUCUUGCGCUAAUUUCCUGUCAAAAAACUUUAAGCACUAUAGAAUGGAACGGAGGGAGUAUACAGUAACGAGCAAGGUUUUUA